AGUGUUUCGGGUGUGGUGGCAGCUGCUGAUACUGCUGCAGGCCAGGGGGACCGAGAAGGCCAGCCUUGAGCAAGGAAUGACAAAUGCACUGAGACGUCGGAAGGAGGAGGCAGAGGCUGCACUUAACAAGAGGAACCAGUCCAACAGUAGACGUGCAGUUGGAGGCAGGGUCUGGUCCAGGGCCCAGGCUCCUGGGUUCUCAUCUAGCUUCCUCAGCCUGAUGAAAACCUAGUUAAAACACAACUGCAAUGGAACUCUGGUCCUCAGACUAAGAUAGAAAAGCCAGCACACUAUUGUAACACAAACAUUAACUUCACCUAUAGCAUGGCCAAGCAGAAUAAGGUUUUACAGAGGCAAAUGGCAGCCAGAUUAAAAGUCAAGCUCUGGAGUCCAGCAGACCAGGGUUUACACCCUAACUCCACCAUGUACUAGUUUUGUGAACUUGAACACAUGACUUGACCUCUCUGAACCUUGGUUCCUUUCCGUUUUGAGUGAGGUUAAUGAGAGAACCCAUACUGUAGGGUGACUGACUGACUGUGAGAGCGGAUGUUCAAAAACUGACAGCCUCUGAUCCAGCUACUGUUGUUUAACCUCACGCCCAAUUUACUGUGGCCAUUUCUUAAAUAUUGAGGUCUUUAUUAUUAUGUCUGCAAAUUGGGAUCAUAAUAUACAUACCGUUCUGCAACUUGCUUUUUACACUUAGUAUGUUUUCAAGCUAGUAUUAUAGAGGCACUUCAUUUUUUUAAUGGAACAAAAUUUCAGAGAUGCACAAUAGGCAUUGUGCAUUCUAAAGGUAUUUGUGUUUUGCAGAUCACAUCAGCAGCAACACAUAUUUGAAGGGAGUGGCAUGUGCAUGAAUGAGCCAUAUUCAAUCUUUGACUUAGACUCUAGAAAUAAAUGAAGACCAACCAAAUGGGAAAAGCGAAGGCUAAUUAUACAGAGCUUACAAUAGCAAGGGAGUCAGCCAUGGUCACCUGCAUUUUCUGAGAUGCAAAGGUAGGCAGAGGACUGGGAGAGCUUUAUAACGGAAGGAAUGGAGGGCUUCUUGUGUGCCCUGAUUGGAGGCUGUUGGCACGGGGACACUUGAGAGAGGCAGGGCAUCUUAUUGGUUAGGGGUGUGUGUGUUAUUCUCUCUGGUUGGUCCUAAGUCAGAAGCAGGGACAAAAAUUAGAGGUGCCACCGGGUAUUAGUCAAGUUCUAGACAUUUGGGGCCAAGUUUUACAGAAUUAUUGUUUCGCUUCCUUGAUUGUCACUAGACAUAGCAGCCUGGCUUCCUGGGCUGUUUAUUGUAGAUAAAGGGCUGGUCUUCCGGGCAGCUUGGGGCUCAAAGUCAAUAUGAUCUGGCCAUUGUUUGCAUAUUCAGUCUUUCAAUGCACAAGGCUUAAUGGUUCAUAAGCAUGUAUGAACCCCUUGCAAAUGAUUUCACGAAGGCCCCUUUCUUCACAGCCCACAGAAAGGAAUCCAUUACUUAAAAAAUUAUUGGAAAAUAAUGCUGGCAUAUAUCCUGGGAUGGAUGCCUUUUGUGGGUAGUAAUCUUGCUCAGACUCCCUGCAAAGGCCACAUGCUUUCCAGGCAAGGAACAGAAUAUUCAGUUGUUUGCCCUUCUCUCCUGGGUAAGAGAAGUUCAGCUGCUGAAGGCAGCUGUGAUGCUCGGGAGAUGCUGUGGGCUGCUGUUCAAAGGGAUUUCGCAUUGGAAGUCCCCUGGGGUCUGAUGCCACCUCUGCCCCAUCCUAGCCAGGCACCUCUGGGAAGCCACCAGCUCCAGGCCUGCUUCUGCUUCUGGGAUACAAGUCCAGCUUGGUGCUUUCACAGCCGCGCCCCCCCACCACCCGGAUGCAUGUGAGAGCUGCAACACUAUUUGUGAAAAUGUUUCAUAAACUGUGUAGAGUUAUGCAAAUGUUAAGUGGGUAUUAUCAGGAUUACAGAAAAGUUAUUGCCUGGAAUCAUGCUUCCAGAAUUUUAAAGAAUCCAUCAAUGGGAUUUUUUUGAAAAAAAAUUUUUUACCCUGGCAUUGUUCUCAGCCAGGUUGCUAUGUGGAGUCUUAAUCGGUCUGCUAUUAGGUCUUUAAUCCAGCACACCAAUGAUUCAAUUAAUCAUUUCUGGCAUAACUACAAUGUCCCUCUGGAUUGUCUGCUUCUGGGAAGCCCUCUCAGCUGGAGGAGCGGCCCUAACUCCCUGUUCAUCCUGCAAACAGAUCAAAUGGCCCUGGGGGAAAAGCCCGAUUAAUGGUCAAAUGAAUUAGUAGCAAGUUGGGAAAAAAGAGAGAGCCAAAUGGUUACCAACACACAGUUUACCUUCCUUUACGCAAUGAGGUGGUCCAGUAAUGCAGCUAAAUGGGAUUGCUCCAGAUUGAAUCAAAUGGGGAGAUGGCUAUUUAAGGGCCCCCUGGGGGGAGUUACUUGAUAAAAGAGCUUUCCAUUUUCAUGAAUGAGUCCCCUGAUAGAACUGCUUUUUCUAAAUUUGAAUUUUUAUCAUCUGUUUUUCAAAUUAUUAUUAUGUAUUAUAAUACAUAUUAAACUAUAAGCAGAAAUUAUAGAAUAGACUAUAAAAAAUAUAGAGAAUAUAACAUUCCAUAGAAUAUAUGGAACAUAUUAUAAUUUCUGUAAUUAUAAUAGUUUUAGAGACCCAGUGGCUAAAAAAGUAUGUGAAUUACGUGGUUAUUUGCAUUUCUCCUCUGAGGGAAUAACAUUGAAACAAAGGUAGUGACUUGAUUUUAGUUCCUUCAAAAAAUGUACUUCAACAAGGGAAAAAAUUUCAACUCAGGAUAAAGAAAACAUUUCCAAUAAAUAGUUAUGACCUACAAGGGAAUGGGUUGCAUUUGAAGUAUUAAGCUCCCUGUCAGAAAAAAAAAAUGCAAAUUAUGGGGAGCAACUUUGUGGAAAUCUGUUUUCAUUUGAUGAUUGGGUUUGAAUUCAUUCUAGAAAAUCCAUGUCUACAAGAGACGUGAGAUGGGCAGGCCUCUCCUAUUUUCAGUAUGUUUAGGGUAAAAUAAAUAUAAACAACAAAUUUGAAGGGAAAGGAAGUGCCCCAGUUGCACUUGGAGUGAGCUAAUUGGUAGUGCUUACCGUGCUGCAUCUAGUGAUGGGGGACUCCAGAUGUCUGUAUUUACAUGUGCACUGAGGUAGUAGGUUGGGGGAAAACAUUAAGCCAUCAUCUGAGAGAAUGACUUUCUGUUUUCACUGGGAAUGCCUCCUCAAGUCACUGCCUGGAGCAAACAGCAACCAUCCCUUCCUUAAUCUCUUUUUUCAGCUAUUUCCAAAAUAUAAACACACAUUUACAUGCAUAGACAGGCAUAUAUGCCAUAAAGUAGACGAAGAACCCAGAGAGAGCCUUCAAUCGGGCCAAGAGGUCAGCCAUAGUCACAGGAAGACACCUUUAACAUCACCUGGAAGGGACAAACCCUCUCAUUUUACAAAUGAGCAAAGUGAGACCCAGAAAGACUCUGUGACUCCCCUGAGAUGGCACAGCCAGAUAAGCCCAGGGCGGAAAGUCCUUCCUUCUCCCUGUCUCCUGAAGGGCAUUGUGGGGAGAUUGCAAGUAGCCCUGCCUUGGAGACAGGGAGCCAUGGUGCUGUGCUCAUCAGUGGGGUGAUGCUUGCCAUCAGUUUGGAAGCUGCUGGAUAGGAUCACAAGUAAAUAUUAUUACCCUCUGCAAAUGAAAUGUUCCCCUGCACACAACCUGUUUUCACUUGUUGCCUGCAGCCACUGGCCGCUUGUGGCUGCAAAGAUUGACACUGAGCUCCAGCUCACCGGUAUCCAUUUGCUCACAAGCUUCAGAAAAUAGAAGGGCUGGGUCUGGUUCUUCUUAUUAAAAGCAAACAAACCCAUUAUUAAAAGUAAACAAGGCAGAACUGCUCUGAAACAAUUGAUGAAAUGUCUCCUGGCUCAGAGGCCUAAAUUCAGCCCUGUUACCCCAAACAAAACCUCCCUUAUUGAAAAUCUAAAGAGGGAAUGCCAGUAGUGUCUGGUUAGGAAGAACGCUCCCUGACCCCCCUUCUCUGUGCCCAUUACAGGUUAGGCUUGGAAACCCCAUUAUCUCUUAUCCUCAACAUUUAGAAGUGGUUGUUACAUUUUACAUUUACCAGUGAUGGCAAGGGCAGGUAAACUCAGAUGCCUCCGAUUGAUUAGAAAUAGAUGUUUUUCAGUUGCUUCACAUGGCAUGGUAAAGGUAUGCGGCCUGACCUCCGUAGGCAUGGGCUUGUGGUCCUGGAGUUCCAGCAUUCCAUGGGGCUGGCUAUCAAUCAGUUCCUGAAGGUUGUAACUUCUUUCACUAGUUUCCUGUCCUGUGACACAUUCUGUGCAUGGAAGUUAUACUUGGGUUUUUCCCAGAACACCAUCUGCAAACACAUACAAAACACGUUUAAGGCGAGUUAUUGCAACAGAUACGACUUGUUGAUUCUUGCUAGUUUCAUGUUCCAAAGGGGCUUCUUUUGCUAAAUUAGGGACACUUUUAUAUACUGACAACUCCCCAAUUUUUAUAAGGGAUUUAGAGGCUCCAGGCCCAUAAAGCAUUCUGUUAAGAAGUCAUGAGGUAAGCUGAAACCCAUUUUAUUUCAUAGAUGAGCCAUGGUAAUGAUCAAUAACUAUUCACAGCUAGCCUUUAUUGAGUACUUACUGUGCCAAAUGCUAGACUAAGUAAUCCUAUUCAGGCCUCACACAGCCUUAGGAAUUUGUACUUCUAAUACCCAUUUCACAAAUGAUGAAACUGAGGCACAGAAAGCUUGGAAGCAAAGGAACCAGAAUUCAAACCUAGACAAUCCACCCUCUUAACCACCUUACCUGCCUCUACACAGAAAUCCCCUUGUGAGUGUCACGAAUUUCACAAUCAUUGCCUGAAGUCUCACACCAACCCAGAGGCCUCAUAUAGCAACCUGAUCACACACAAAAAUCACCUGAGGGACAUUUAAAGCAUACCCAGGCAUGGGGAAAAUACUGUAAUGGUUAACAUUUGGGGAAUUUAAUGAAGGGUAAGUGGGAAAUCUCUGCAUUACUCUUGCAGUGUUUCUGUAUGUCUGAAAUUAUAUCAAAAUAGAAAUAUCAAAAGAAAAAAUGCAUUAGAAGAAUUUUAGUUGACCUGGAGUGAUUUCUACAGGAAUUGUUGAUAGCAAGAAGUGUUAACACAAAGUAUUAACAACAGAUCAGAAAAGUGUGUGUGAUAUGAUCCCAUCUGUAUAAAGCAAAUGAUGACAAAUGAAUAUAUACACGUGUACCUAUGUCCUUAUAGGAAGAUGGAAUAAAAUAAGUAGGAUACAUUAAAAAAUAUUGGAGCUCAGUUCCCAGAGAUUCUAUUUUAACUGGGCCUGGGAAUGGGUGUGUCUUGCCAAUGGGUUCAGCCCCGGGCAAGUUUGCUAUGGAUUCAAUGUGACCAAAGAAAAUUGACAGCAGAACGCUCUUUGGGGUGAAAGGGUUAUACCCAACUUUAUUUC